rnacentral:rRNA from 1 species
AUUGAACGCUGGCGGCAGGCCUAACACAUGCAAGUCGAGCGGAUGAAGGGAGCUUGCUCCUGGAUUCAGCGGCGGACGGGUGAGUAAUGCCUAGGAAUCUGCCUGGUAGUGGGGGAUAACGUCCGGAAACGGGCGCUAAUACCGCAUACGUCCUGAGGGUGAAAGGGGGGGAUCUUCGGACCUCACGCUAUCAGAUGAGCCUAGGUCGGAUUAGCUAGUUGGUGGGGUAAAGGCCUACCAAGGCGACGAUCCGUAACUGGUCUGAGAGGAUGAUCAGUCACACUGGAACUGAGACACGGUCCAGACUCCUACGGGAGGCAGCAGUGGGGAAUAUUGGACAAUGGGCGAAAGCCUGAUCCAGCCAUGCCGCGUGUGUGAAGAAGGUCUUCGGAUUGUAAAGCACUUUAAGUUGGGAGGAAGGGCAGUAAGUUAAUACCUUGCUGUUUUGACGGUACCAACAGAAUAAGCACCGGCUAACUUCGUG